rnacentral:rRNA from 1 species
UACGUAGGGUGCGAGCGUUAAUCGGAAUUACUGGCGUAAAGCGUGCGCAGGCGGUUUUGUAAGACAGGCGUGAAAUCCCCGGGCUCAACCUCGGGAACGGCGCUUGUGACUGCAAAGCUAGAGUGCGGCAGAGGGGGAUGGAAUUCCGCGUGUAGCAGUGAAAUGCGUAGAUAUGCGGAGGAACACCGAUGGCGAAGGCAAUCCCCUGGGCCUGCACUGACGCUCAUGCACGAAAGCGUGGGAGCAAACAGG